rnacentral:lncRNA from 1 species
UUUUUGUUUUUUAUUAAACUUUUUUAAAUUAUUAUAUUAUUUAUUUUAAUACAUUUUUUAGUCCAAAAAAGAGUCAAAAAUCACACACACACAAAAAAACUUAAUUAGAUUGAUUUUUUAUUUUUUUAGCUCUUUUUCACAUCUUGAGGAACAAGUAAGUAAUUUUGGAAAUAAUCAAUUUAUUUGAUUAUUUUGAUUAAUUAUUUGAAGCAUAAUUAAUUUAUUUCUCAUUUUG